rnacentral:rRNA from 1 species
UACGGGGGGGGCAAGCGUUGUUCGGAAUUACUGGGCGUAAAGGGCUCGUAGGCGGCCAACUAAGUCAGACGUGAAAUCCCUCGGCUUAACCGGGGAACUGCGUCUGAUACUGGUUGGCUUGAAUCCGGGAGAGGGAUGCAGAAUUCCAGGUGUAGCGGUGAAAUGUGUAGAUAUCUGGAGGAAUACCGGUGGCGAAGGCGGCAUCCUGGACCGGCAUUGACGCUGAAGCGCGAAAGCUAGGGGAGCAAACGGG